GCGAAAAUCGUCCCUGAAUCGGGUGGUAACCCUAGCCGAAACCGACUAAAGCGCAUCAACCACUGUACACUAGAGGUUGUUUAUACUCAUUGAAUCGUGCCGGCUUAGUUUAGUAUCGUGACUGCGUUGAUCGAGUUCGCAACAGUGUCUCCCUUCGCCGAGAGAGAACUCAACGUCCGUCCGUCGUCGCUCGUCGUCGUCCGUCGCUGAUCGUUUGCGGGUUUUCCUCUCUUUCAUCAUCACUCGCAUUUAGUUCGUAAGAAGUGCGCGGAUCAUUCACCUGGGGCAACCCGUCGCCGGAGCAUUUAAUCGGUGUCUCUAAACGGUGCGUAGGCGCAAAUCUCGUGUUUCCUAGUUGAUUGAUUAGUGCCUGUCUGUCUAUACGUCGAAGCGCUAGGAGAUCAAACGGGACGUCACCAGCGCGCCAAAAAACAGUCUACAGUGUGCUCAACAUCAUCUGGGUUUCCUCCUAGUUGCUCGGGCGAUCGCGUGCCGAUCGCAAGAAGAAAAGCCCACUGACUACUGCAGCAGGUAUCCGUCCGUCGUUGGUUGGUGGUUUUUGUUAUUCUUUUUUCGGGUAUCUUUGGUCAUACGGCUCUCUGGGGCUCGCGUGACCGGUUUCGAUGAUAACACAGCGGGCAUAUGUGUAAGUGAGAGAGUGGCCAAAAAUCGCUACGACCAAGAUUUGACACACUAGUAGUCGAAGUGUUAGGCCCUUGUUUGGGUGUAAAACCGACGACGAAUGCAGCAGUGGUAAACAAGCCAAAUAAUAUUCAUCAAUAUGUGAUUCCGUUCCGUCCCGUGUGUGAAGCAGUUUCGCGCUUUCGAUAUAUCACUGCCCAGAGUGGAGAUAGCUAUUGUGGAAGCAGUCUGGAGUGGAACUUCCCCCCGUUGAAGUGUUCAUUGCUAGGGAAGAUCAUAGUGAUACAGAGUGAUAUCUACUAGUUUGCAACAGUUCUACAAAAGUGCAUUAAUAUAAGGCAAGAUAAAAGGUGACCCAAGUGAAGUGAAUUUUAAGUGGAUCACAGCGAAUCUAUGAGGCGUGAUGCACCGCUAUAGCAUUAUGUACUGCAGUCUUGGAUAGUGAAUGCGAGAAAUUCGUCACUUGAGUGCGAUUGUCAUAUCUCUGUCUACAAUAGCUUCAGUACAUCAAGCCCCGGUGGUGCGCACUGUGGUCGUUGUUCGUUAGCGAGGGGAUUUUGUUUAUAUCGAUGCUUUCCAAUACUCAACCGGAACCAAACGGCGAUGCACGAAAAGUGGUACUGCUACGAUGAAAGUGAUUAGUCUCAAGAGAAAGAGAAGAAAAUAAGUUUGGAUACAACAGAACAACCAAUCCUAUAAUGUGACCUGAGCUCGCUCCAUAAGUCGUUCGUUGACGUGUGGUGAUUAGCAAGUGUGCUUAAAAUCGUUCGUGCUGUGAUAGGUUUUACGUGUGCGUAGCAAAACAAAAAAAAAGUUAUAGUCUAUAGUGCUCGGAAUAUUAUCGCCAGCGAGG